rnacentral:rRNA from 1 species
UACGUAGGUGGCAAGCGUUGUCCGGAAUUAUUGGGCGUAAAGCGCGCGCAGGUGGUUUCUUAAGUCUGAUGUGGAAGCCCACGGCUCAACCGUGGAGGGUCAUUGGAAACUGGGGAACUUGAGUGCAGAAGAGGAAAGUGGAAUUCCAAGUGUAGCGGUGAAAUGCGUAGAGAUUUGGAGGAACACCAGUGGCGAAGGCGACUUUCUGGUCUGUAACUGACACUGAGGCGCGAAAGCGUGGGGAGCAAACAGG